GGAGAUGUGGGGCCAGUGUGGCUGUAUCCCCAGUCUCCUCUUGACUGUGUCGUGGCUGAUCCUAAAAAAGGCUCUAAGCUGUACGGGCUGAAGAGUUACAUAGAGUACCAGGUCACACCCAAUACGACCAAACAGACCUGUCAAUCACAGGUAUAAGCAUUUUGAUUGGCUGUAUAUGAGCGCCUGUUGGAGCAAGUUUGGUUCCGCCAUCCCCAUCCCCUCACUGCCUGACAAAACAAGUCACAGGUCGUUUUGAGGAGGAGUUUAUCAAGAUGAGGAUGGAGAGACUGCAGGGCUGGAUGUGUCGUAUGUGUCGACAUCCUGUCGUCUCCAACAGUGACGUCUUUCAACUCUUCCUCACGUACAGAGACGAGAAGGAGUGGAAGACCGGGAAGAGGAGAGCAGAGAAGGAUGAGUGUGUUGGACCAAUGGUCUUCUCCACCAUCGACCCUGAAGCUCCUGAG